GCCUUCGUGGUGUAGUGGUCAGCACAGUUGACCCAAGAGGUCCGAGGUUCAAGUCCCGACAAGGGCA
rnacentral:tRNA from 1 species